rnacentral:rRNA from 1 species
CCUACGGGAGGCAGCAGUGGGGAAUCUUGCGCAAUGGGCGAAAGCCUGACGCAGCAACGCCGCGUGCGGGAAGAAGGCUUUCGGGCUGUAAACCGCUUUCAGCAGGAACGAAAAUGACGGUACCUGCAGAAGAAGGAGCGGCCAACUAUGUGCCAGCAGCCGCGGUGAUACAUAGGCUUCAAGCGUUGUCCGGAUUUAUUGGGCGUAAAGAGUUCGUAGGCGGUCGAGUAAGUCGGGUGUGAAAAUUCUGGGCUCAACCCAGAGACGCCACCCGAUACUGCUUGACUUGAGUUCGAUAGGGGAGUGGGGAAUUCCUAGUGUAGCGGUGAAAUGCGCAGAUAUUAGGAGGAACACCGGUGGCGAAGGCGCCACUCUGGAUCGAUACUGACGCUGAGGAACGAAAGCAUGGGCAGCAAACAGGAUUAGAUACCCUGGUAGUCCAUGCCGUAAACGGUGGGCACUAGGUGUGGGUUUCUAUUAACGAAAUCCGCGCCGCCGCUAACGCAUUAAGUGCCCCGCCUGGGGAGUACGGUCGCGAGACGAAACUACGAAGUAAGUAGUACGCGUUGAGAGUUGCGACGGCGACGACGAGGGAGAGG